AGUAUCGCGAUAGAAUGCGCGGUGAUACGUCCGGGGUUUGUACACACGCCCGGCAGAAACGAAAGUUGGAAUACUCAAAAACGGAGCCUAACUUCUUCGGAAGAGGGAACCGUCUAGGGGAGGAUCGAUGAUUGGGGUUAAUCGAACAAGGUAUCCCUACCGGAGGUGGGGAUGGAUCACCUUCUUUUAAGA
rnacentral:rRNA from 1 species